GGGCCGGUAGCUCAGUUGGUAGAGCACCAGACUUUUAAUCUGGGGGUUGCGGGUUCGAUUCCCGCCGGAGCCA
rnacentral:tRNA from 1 species